rnacentral:rRNA from 1 species
GACGAACGCUGGCGGCACGCUUAACACAUGCAAGUCGAACGAGAGAAGAGAAGCUUGCUUUUCUGAUCUAGUGGCGGACGGGUGAGUAACACGUGAGCAAUCUGCCUUUCAGAGGGGGAUACCGAUUGGAAACGAUCGUUAAUACCGCAUAACAUAAUUGAACCGCAUGAUUUGAUUAUCAAAGAUUUAUCGCUGAAAGAUGAGCUCGCGUCUGAUUAGCUAGUUGGUAAGGUAACGGCUUACCAAGGCGACGAUCAGUAGCCGGACUGAGAGGUUGAUCGGCCAAAUUGGGAAUGAGACACGGCCCAGACUCCUACGGGAGGCAGCAGUGGGGAAUAUUGCACAAUGGAGGAAACUCUGAUGCAGCGAUGCCGCGUGAGGGAAGAAGGUUUUAGGAUUGUAAACCUCUGUCUUCAGGGACGAAAAAAGACGGUACCUGAGGAGGAAGCUCCGGCUAACUACGUG